UCGCAAUUUCCAAGCCCUUGAACAUCAACAGGUAGUCUCAUGGCAGCAAGAUCACCGUAUGUGCAGUCAGCAAGAUCACCGUAUGUGCAGUCUCUUCUGAAGGACAAAAUGGGGGGCACCACAAAUUGAUGGAAAUGUGUCCCUGUCGGGGCCCAACUUUGCUCCCCUGGUGUGAUCCACUUCCCCACGAUCCAGGUCUACCAUUGGUUCCAAUACGACCCCGUCACAUUCAAAAUUCACAAAUAAUAUUUUGAACAAAUAGAACAACCCAAUUCAAUUCAUAGUAUUCCUAU
rnacentral:lncRNA from 1 species